GAGGAAAGUCCGGGCUCCACAGGGCAAGAUGGUUGCUAGCGGCAACUGUCCCGCUAGUCGGGAUAAGGAAAGUGCCACAGAAAAGAAAACCCCCGCGUCUUGUGCGCGGGAGAGCUGAAACGGUGGUGUAAGAGACCACCAGCUUCGUCGUGAGGCGAAGGCUUGGUAAACCCCAUCUGGAGCAAGGCCGAAUAGGGGAGGGAUAAAGCUGCCCGCCUACCUCCCGGGUGUCGCCGCUAAAGCCCCACGGCAACGUGGGCGCGUAGAUAGAUGAUCACUCUCGACAGAACCCGGCUUA
rnacentral:RNase_P_RNA from 1 species